rnacentral:rRNA from 1 species
GAUGAACGCUAGCGGCAGGCCUAAUACAUGCAAGUCGAACGGUAACAUGAGUAGCAAUACUUGAUGACGAGUGGCGCACGGGUGCGUAACACGUAUGUAAUCUUCCCACAACUGGGGGAUAGCCCGGAGAAAUCCGGAUUAAUACCCCAUAACCCAGCGAGGUGGCAUCACCUUUCUGGUAAAUCUCCGGAGGUCGUGGAUGAACAUGCGUCCGAUUAGCUAGUUGGCGGGGUAACGGCCCACCAAGGCUACGAUCGGUAGGGGUACUGAGAGGUUAAACCCCCACACUGGUACUGAGACACGGACCAGACUCCUACGGGAGGCAGCAGUAAGGAAUAUUGGACAAUGGAGGCAACUCUGAUCCAGCCAUGCCGCGUGAAGGAUGAAGGCGCUAUGCGUUGUAAACUUCUUUUGAACGGGAAAAAACCCCUUUACGUGUAAAGGGUUGAUUGUACCGUUAGAAUAAGGGUCGGCUAACUUCGUGCCAGCCGCCGCAGUAAUAC